rnacentral:rRNA from 1 species
AUCUGGGGUGAGGACAGUGUCUGGUGGGUAGUUUGACUGGGGCGGUCUCCUCCCAAAGAGUAACGGAGGAGCACGAAGGUUAGCUAAUCACGGUCGGACAUCGUGAGGUUAGUGCAAAGGCAUAAGCUAGCUUGACUGCGAGAGUGACGGCUCGAGCAGGUACGAAAGUAGGUCUUAGUGAUCCGGUGGUUCUGAAUGGAAGGGCCAUCGCUCAACGGAUAAAAGGUACUCCGGGGAUAACAGGCUGAUACCGCCCAAGAGUUCAUAUCGACGGCGGUGUUUGGCACCUCGAUGUCGGCUCAUCACAUCCUGGGGCUGAAGUAGGUCCCAAGGGUAUGGCUGUUCGCCAUUUAAAGUGGUACGCGAGCUGGGUUUAGAACGUCGUGAGACAGUUCGGUCCCUAUCUGCCGUGGGCGUUGGAAGAUUGAGAGGGGCUGCUCCUAGUACGAGAGGACCGGAGUGGACGAAUCACUGGUGUUCGGGUUGUCAUGCCAAUGGCAUUGCCC